rnacentral:rRNA from 1 species
UACGUAGGGGGCGAGCGUUGUCCGGAUUUAUUGGGCGUAAAGAGCUCGUAGGCGGUUUGGCAAGUCGGGUGUGAAAACUCCGGGCUCAACUCGGAGACGCCACUCGAUACUGCCAUGACUCGAGUCCGGUAGGGGAGUGCGGAAUUCCUGGUGUAGCGGUGAAAUGCGCAGAUAUCAGGAGGAACACCGGUGGCGAAGGCGGCACUCUGGGCCGGUACUGACGCUGAGGAGCGAAGGCGUGGGGAGCGAACAGG